GACGAACGCUGGCGGCGUGCCUAAUACAUGCAAGUAGAACGCUGAAGAGAGGAGCUUGCUCUUCUUGGAUGAGUUGCGAACGGGUGAGUAACGCGUAGGUAACCUGCCUUGUAGCGGGGGAUAACUAUUAGAAACGAUAGCUAAUACCGCAUAACAAUGGAUGACACAUGUCAUUUAUUUGAAAGGGGCAAUUGCUCCACUACAAGAUGGACCUGCGUUGUAUUAGCUAGUAGGUGAGGUAAUGGCUCACCUAGGCGACGAUACAUAGCCGACCUGAGAGGGUGAUCGGCCACACUGGGACUGAGACACGGCCCAGACUCCUACGGGAGGCAGCAGUAGGGAAUCUUCGGCAAUGGGGGCAACCCUGACCGAGCAACGCCGCGUGAGUGAAGAAGGUUUUCGGAUCGUAAAGCUCUGUUGUAAGUCAAGAACGGGUGUGAGAGUGGAAAGUUCACACUGUGACGGUAGCUUACCAGAAAGGGACGGCUAACUACGUG
rnacentral:rRNA from 1 species